CAGCCGCCGCGGGAAUACGUAGGUGGCAAGCGUUGUCCGGAAUUAUUGGGCGUAAAGGGCUCGCAGGCGGUUUCUUAAGUCUGAUGUGAAAGCCCCCGGCUCAACCGGGGAGGGUCAUUGGAAACUGGGAAACUUGAGUGCAGAAGAGGAGAGUGGAAUUCCACGUGUAGCGGUGAAAUGCGUAGAGAUGUGGAGGAACACCAGUGGCGAAGGCGACUCUCUGGUCUGCAACUGACGCUGAGGAGCGAAAGCGUGGGGAGCGAACAGGAUUAGAUACCCGCGUAGUCCCUGUCUCUUAUAC
rnacentral:rRNA from 1 species